GUAGGCCUACGGGGCGCAGCAGUGGGGAAUCUUCCGCAAUGGGCGAAAGCCUGACGGAGCAACGCCGCGUGAAUGAAGAAGGUCUUCGGAUCGUAAAGUUCUGUUCUUAGGGAAGAAGUCUUAGGUUGUGAAUAAUGACUUAAGGUGACGGUACCUAUGGAGAAAGCUCCGGCUAACUACGUGCCAGCAGCCGCGGUAAUACGUAGGGAGCGAGCGUUGUCCGGAAUUACUGGGCGUAAAGGGCGCGUAGGCGGGACCUUAGGUUAGAUGUGAAUACUCCGGGCUUAACCUGGAGACUGCAUUUA
rnacentral:rRNA from 1 species